ensembl:lncRNA
UUAAUUUUUCUCCCCUUUUAUAAAAUGGUAUAACGUUCAAUUAAUUAUUUUUCUACCCCACUUUUCUUCCAAGGAGUUCAAGUGGCAUACAGAGUUCUCCCCCUCCAUAUUUUAUCCUCACAUGAAGCAUGUGAGGUAGCCCUGGGAUGACCUACCCCUGCUUCAAAUCAGGCGUAAGGAACUUGGGACCCACCAGAUGUUGCUAAACUCCAGGUUCCUCACCUAUCAGAUGCCUUUCUUGCUUUUGAUCUCUGCUUUCAUUACCCAAUUGAAGAUGAAAAAGGAAAGGAAAGGAAAGCCGCCUAUGUGGUGCGAAUCUGAACAUCCAGCAAAAACCAACCACCAAAUGAUGUGUGGACCCAAACACCGUCCAAUGCCCUGGCUCAUUAUGACUUUAUGGGAUACCAUGUAAAUGCCACACAAAAUGUCCAGUAUGUCUCCAGUGAUGCCUAAUCCAAUUUUUCCCCCCUCUUGGGUAAGUAGCAGGAAAACUGUUUCAGCUUGAGGUUCAUAUUCCCCCAUGGCCAGAUUGCCAGUGAUGGCAGGGGACAUAGACCAAAGUGAUCAAUUGAUGUGGCUCUUAUUUUUGUACUGCAUAAAUUGAAGGUUUGCACACACACACACACACACACACACACACACACCCCUCCAUCAAUGACGAGCAAGAGGCAUCAGAUCAAGGACACAUUCCAUUCAAGCAAAAACAUUCAAGGAGGAAAAGAGAAGGGUUGGUGAGAAUUAGAUUACUGCAACACAUUAUUCAUGGUGCUGCCUCUGAAGACAGUUUGGAAUCCAGCUGGGGCAGAAUUCAGCAUCCAGGUGGCUCACCUGAGCAAGACAGUUUGAGCAUAUAAUACCAAUACUUGCUAGACUGCAUUGGCUGCCAUUUCAAAGGGCUGGUUUUGACCCAUAAAACUUAAAACAGCUCAGGACUGCAAUAACUCAAUGACUGCCUCUCCCCACAUGAUUGAACCAUGGACCCUGCAGAUCACCCUCUGAAGCUGUUCUUCAUGUGCCUCCUCUAUGAAAGGUCCAGAAGUUGGCAAUAUGAAAACAGGCCCUUUCUGUGGUGGCUCCCCAUUUGUGGAAUGCUUUCCAUAGGGAAGCUCACCUGGCACCUUCAUUGAAUAUCGUUACGCACCAGGUGAAAAAUAUACUUCUCCCAGACCUUUGUCUAAUUAAAUAAUCUAUGGCCUUUUAAACUGUGGAAGGGGAUCUUUGUUUUGUUUUUCAUAACAUUACAUAUUUUUAUGUUUUUAUAUCAUAAACCACUCUGUGGUCCUUACAUGAAGGGUGGUAAUGGUAAGGGUGAGAGGCAUGGUUAGGAAGAGCCUUGAGGAACAGAUAGCAGGGCAUAGAGGGCUGCAUUUGGCCCUAGGUCUGAGGUCUGGAAGAGAGAAUGAAAUUCCUGUGUUUAACUUCUACUUCAUUUUCCUUAAAACAAAACAAAAAUACCAAGUAUUUUUACUGCAGUAAUAGUCCCACUGAAUACACAAUGAUCCAAUAUUUUGAAGUGAAAGAGCAGAGCAUGAUGGUAAUUACAGUUUCCUUAUGAAACUUUGGGUUCUCUUAUGGGGGCGGGGAUGUGCAAAGGACCAUUGUUUCAUGGCAAGCAACAAGUAAGACAAAAUAUCACUCAGAGGUUUCACAAUAAAACAUUUCAGGAAAGAGAAACAGAGCAUCAUGAUGCUCUGACCCAGUUGUGGGCACCCAUGAGUAAGCUGGCUAACCUCAAUAGGAGUCAAAGUCAAUCAUAACCAUGGACAGAUCAUGUGUGGAACUAGUUACA